rnacentral:rRNA from 1 species
GACAGAGGGGGCAAGCGUUGCUCGGAAUUACUGGGCGUAAAGGGCGCGUAGGCGGGAUGGCAAGUCGGUCGUGAAAUCCCUCGGCUCAACCGAGGAACGUCGAUCGAUACUGCUGUUCUUGAGGAUUGCAGAGGAGACUGGAAUUCCCGGUGUAGCGGUGAAAUGUGUAGAGAUCGGGAGGAACACCGGUGGCGAAGGCGGCCUGCUGGGUUCUGGCUGACACUGAGGCGCGACAGCGUGGGGAGCAAACAGG